rnacentral:rRNA from 1 species
UACGAAGGGGGCUAGCGUUGCUCGGAAUCACUGGGCGUAAAGGGUGCGUAGGCGGGUCUUUAAGUCAGGGGUGAAAUCCUGGAGCUCAACUCCAGAACUGCCUUUGAUACUGAAGAUCUUGAGUUCGGGAGAGGUGAGCGGAACUGCGAGUGUAGAGGUGAAAUUCGUAGAUAUUCGCAAGAACACCAGUGGCGAAGGCGGCUCACUGGCCCGAUACUGACGCUGAGGCACGAAAGCGUGGGGAGCAAACAGG